rnacentral:tRNA from 1 species
GCGGGUGUAGUUCAACGGCAGAACUCCAGCCUUCCAAGCUGGAUGUGUGGGUUCGAUUCCCAUCACCCGCU